UAGUUGAUAGAGGGUUUGGACAGAACCUUUACCGUAAGUACGAUUGCCAAUUAUUAGAGCCCUAUCGUGAUCCUGUAGCGCUCCCGCAACAAUUUCUGAAGAGCUGGCACUGUUACCAUUCACUAAAACUACCACUGGUAGAUCGGCAUUUGAUUCAAACGUAGUCGAUUCAAUGCGUUCUAUUGUCGUCGGAUCCCUGCCCUUUGUUUCCAAAACGAUCAACUGAUCUUCUAGAAAAAGAUCUGUCACAGCAACUCCUUCAGCCAGAAGCCCUCCGGGAUUAUCCCG
rnacentral:ncRNA from 1 species